GCGGCGAUAGUUGAAACUUCUGCUAAAGAGAAACAUCAAUCGCCCGGCCUGUCACGCCGGAGGUCGCGGGUUCGAGCCCCGUCACUCGCGCCA
rnacentral:tRNA from 1 species